GCCGUCUUAGCUCAGUUGGUAGAGCGGCGCACUCGUAACGCGCAGGUCAUCGGUUCAAUCCCGAUAGACGGCU
rnacentral:tRNA from 1 species